rnacentral:rRNA from 1 species
ACUUAGUGAUCCGGUGGUUCUGCGUGGCAGGGCCAUCGCUCAACGGAUAAAAGCUACCCUGGGGAUAACAGGCUUAUCUCCCCCAAGAGUCCACAUCGACGGGGAGGUUUGGCACCUCGAUGUCGGCUCAUCACAUCCUGGGGCUGUAGUAGGUCCCAAGGGUUGGGCUGUUCGCCCAUUAAAGUGGUACGCGAGCUGGGUUCAGAACGGCGUGAGACAGUUCGGUCCCUAUCCGUCGCAGGCGUAGGAAAUUUGAGAAGACCUGUCCUUAGUACGAGAGGACCGGGAUGGACGUACCUCUGGUGUACCAGUUGUCCUGCCAAGGGCAUGGCUGGGUAGCUAUGU